rnacentral:rRNA from 1 species
AUUGAACGCUGGCGGCAUGCCUUACACAUGCAAGUCGAACGGCAGCACGGGUGCUUGCACCUGGUGGCGAGUGGCGAACGGGUGAGUAAUAUAUCGGAACGUACCUUAUUGUGGGGGAUAACGCAGCGAAAGCUGUGCUAAUACCGCAUAAUCCCUAAGGGGGAAAGCGGGGGACCGUAAGGCCUCGCGCAAUUAGAGCGGCCGAUACCUGAUUAGCUAGUUGGUGAGGUAAAGGCUCACCAAGGCAACGAUCAGUAGCUGGUCUGAGAGGACGAUCAGCCAGACUGGGACUGAGACACGGCCCAGACUCCGACGGGAGGCAGCAGUGGGGAAUGUUGGACAAUGGGGGCAACCCUGAUCCAGCAAUGCCGCGUGAGUGAAGAAGGCCUUCGGGUUGUAAAGCUCUGUUGUCAGGGAAGAAACAGCAGCUCUAACACAGUUUGCGAAUGACGGUACCUGAAGAAUAAGCACCGGCUAACUACGUGCCAGCAGCCGCAGUAA